rnacentral:tRNA from 1 species
AGUUUUAUAGUUUAAUAAAAAUUUUAAAUUGCAAAUUUAAAGAUAAAGAUAUUUUUUAAAACUU